AACAUUAAGGGCGCGAUUACGUCACGAGAGUUUAGUAAUUUGAAUCAUAAUAUGAUUAAUCGGUAUUUUUUGUAUGGAAAAUAGUAAAGAUAGUUAUGAAAUAAAGAUAUUUAGUGGAUUAUAAUACCUAAUUAUGAAAAACUUUUGAUUUUUGUGUGGUCUGGUACCCCUACCACAGUGGGAUAGAAAUCUUGAGCUUCCCUGGCCCCUUUCGCUUGGAGGUGCUGUGCUAGGUGCUAGUGUGCUAGUAGUCACAAACACGAAACACAUCAACAAGUCACGUUCGUAAGAGUUCGUUGCGCAUGAUUCAUUUUCCGUCAUUUUGUUUAUGAUUUUGUCCUGUUUUGUUUUUUUUUUAAAUAGAGGUAAUUUUAUGACCAGUGAUAUGGCUAAGACAGAUAGACUAUUAUUGAAAUGGAACAACAUACAAUAAUAUGUAGAACAUGUUGUGUUGGUGGUUGUACCUUCUCCACAUCGAUUACGUUUUCCAGAGAUGAAAUGGACAUGUUCUUGGAAGGGUUGAAACCUUAGGUAAGUAUACACCACUUUAUCUUUACAACAGUUUUCGUGUUUGUUCUAGGCAUUUUAAAGAAAAUUUUAAGAUACAUGAGAGUUCGAACAAGAGGAAUUACCAAAGGGGCCAUCCCAAGCUCAUUUUUACCACCACUAGGAAUAUGCAAAAGACCUAUGCAUGAGUUAAAAUAAAUGACCAGAGACAGAGAUCUUUUUAGACAGACAAUAUAUGACAUCACGUCGACCACUACACUCCCUCCUGGGGGUCAGGAUUGAAGAGAGAGAUUAUCAGGAUGAAAAGGCUACUGAAGAAUCUCAAUUUAUUGACAUGCAUGGUAAUAUGUUAUAAAGUACUUCCACUCUAACUUUUCCCAUGCACGAAAUUAUUGACGAACUACUAUUCAUACAAGGUCUCUUUUUAACUCACAGACACUCUGAGAGUAGUACAUAUCAAUGCCACACAUCAAUGUAUGUCUCGCUUUAUUUUUUGAUAUCAACGCAUGUGAAAAGUCAGAGUGGAAGAACUAUAAAAAUAUACCUUACCUACAUUCUAAAUUGUAAUAAUUUUGCUUUUCAUUCACAGUCAUUUAUUUCGAGCUUCUGUCAUAUGUCCUAUAAUCCAUGUAUAUUAAUAUUUUACACAGAUUAGCUUAGUUUCGAGCAUCCAUCAUAGGAAUCUCAUAUAAUAUUAAUAUAAUCUGUGUAUAAUAUUAAUAUACAUGAAUUAUAGGACAUAUGACAGAAGUUCGAAAUAAAUGACUGUGAAUGAAAAGCCCUAUUAUUACAAUUGAGAAUGUAGGUGAGGUAUAUUUUUAUAGUUCUUAUAAUAUUAUAAUAUGUAUUAUGCUCAUAUAAUGAUAUUAUCCACUGUACUGAAAGGUAAAAAUUUUAACCCACAAAUCAACUUUUUUCAGGAAGUAGAGAAAACGUUCCACUUAAGUAAUUUGGUGAGGAAUUAACCUCAUCAAAACAAACGUAUAUAUCAAUAAUUGAACUAUAAAGUAAUGAAAACAAUUAUUAGGUUAAUUCCUCACCAAAUUACAAACGUCUUUUCUACUUCAUGAAAAAAGUUGAUUUGUGAUAAAUACAGUAAAUCCUCUGUUAACUGAAACAUUGCUUAACCGAAAUGGGUCAAUAGUUACAGUUUCAAUAAUUACGUCAAUAAAAGGUAAAUUUUUAUAUCAAAACAGAAAUAAUUCAAUGUUAAUUUGUCAACAUUGCUUUCAUACAACUAAAAUAUGCAAUUUAUUUAUUUAUUUAUACAGGGUGCCUGCUUAACUUGGAACCAUAUGGGAAACUUUUGUAAUAUCAAUUUUACGAAAAAAAGUCAUUCUUUAUAAAGUGCUCUGCAUAGUCUAAAACCUACGAUGCAAUCAUCAGAAAUCAAAUUUUGUCAAUAAUAUACAAGGUAUGUCAAAAAAUAUUAAUAUCGCUCAAGAGCAAACUACCUUUAUAUUUCAAAAUAUCAAAAAAU